CACAGCCCUUAUUUUUGUUGAUCCUUUUGUUACGCAGUAGCGUGCAGGUUGCUCUGCUGCGAGUGUGUAAAAGAGUGCAUCAUAGUAUACGUGAGACGCGCGCUGGUACAUAGCAGAGCAGAACGAAGCUGUGGUGGCUCGCUCAAUUUCUCGAAAAGCAUCCCCCGAAUAGAGAUCCUUGAAUGAAAUCUAAACAAUUUCUUUGCUUUACUCGUAAUAUACUCGACAACGUGCAAUAUUGCGAUUACAGCUGCACAUUUCGCGACAUUUGUGUGUAACACAAUAUGUUACAUUCAUCUUUAUUACGAGUUUUAGAUAUUUAACAAAAGAAAUUUUGAAAAUUUCUAAAAUACUUUGCAUUACGGAGCAUUGUGUGAUAACAAUACACAGUAAUAUAUUGUAUUUAUCAUUUCAAUAAUUCUUGAAUGAAAACAGUUAAUCUUAUUAUACGUGUUUGCAAACGAAAUUACGCAUAGAUACAUGAACAGCAUAAUUAAAUCUAUAUAUAAAUUAUAACAACAGAUUUUACAAGUCAAAAGAGUUCUCUAAGAUCGAUAUUACAGCCUGAAAACAUUAACAUUUCUAUGUUAUGCAAGAAGAAAGAGAGGGAGAGAAAGAGGAAAGGAAACAGCAAAACUCAAACUCUCUAAACACUUUGUUUUCUUGGUUUAAAUUUGCCUGUACUUGCCGCCACACCUCGUGAACGUCCUCUUAGGUACAAGUGCGUCGUGUGUUCGCCGCGUGUAUACGCGCACGGAUACCUACUCAACGCUCGUGCAUGUGGUGGCGUCGAUUGAUACCGGCGAGCAACAAAUCGUCCCAAAGAAGCCGCUGUCGCCUUUCGCCAAAUUUCGUCAACUUGAUAGGCAAAAUAGCGCCACUUUAUCGCCAAGUCCUGUAAAAUC